rnacentral:rRNA from 1 species
AUUGAACGCUGGCGGCAGGCCUAACACAUGCAAGUCGAACGAGUGGCGGACGGGUGAGUAAUGUCUGGGAAAAUGCCUGAUGGAGGGGGAUAACUACUGGAAACGGUAGCUAAUACCGCAUACCAUCAGAUGUGCCCAGAUGGGAUUAGCUUUGUGGUGGGGUCACGGGUCACCAAGGCGACGAUCCCUAGCUGGUCUGAGAGGAUUACCAGCCAAACGGGAACUGAGCCACGGUCCAAACUCCUACGGGAGGAAGCAGUGGGUAAUAUUGCACAAUGGGCGCAAGCCUGAGCCAGCCAUGCCGCGUGUAUGAAGAAGGCCUUCGGGUUGUAAAGUACUUUCAGCGGGGAGGCGUUACCCGCAGAAGAAGCACCGGCUAACUCCGGGCCAGCAGCCGCGGUAAUUC